rnacentral:rRNA from 1 species
AGUGAACGCUGGCGGUAGGCCUAACACAUGCAAGUCGAACGGCAGCACAGUAAGAGCUUGCUCUUGCGGGUGGCGAGUGGCGGACGGGUGAGGAAUACAUCGGAAUCUACUUUUUCGUGGGGGAUAACGUAGGGAAACUUACGCUAAUACCGCAUACGACCUACGGGUGAAAGCAGGGGAUCUUCGGACCUUGCGCGAUUGAAUGAGCCGAUGUCGGAUUAGCUAGUUGGCGGGGUAAAGGCCCACCAAGGCGACGAUCCGUAGCUGGUCUGAGAGGAUGAUCAGCCACACUGGAACUGAGACACGGUCCAGACUCCUACGGGAGGCAGCAGUGGGGAAUAUUGGACAAUGGGCGCAAGCCUGAUCUAGCCAUACCGCGUGGGUGAAGAAGGCCUUCGGGUUGUAAAGCCCUUUUGUUGGGAAAGAAAAGCAGCAGGUUAAUACCCCGCUGUUCUGACGGUACCCAAAGAAUAAGCACCGGCUAACUUCGUG